rnacentral:rRNA from 1 species
ACUCCUACGGGAGGCAGCAGUGGGGAAUAUUGCACAAUGGGGGAAACCCUGAUGCAGCCAUGCCGCGUGUGUGAAGAAGGCCUUCGGGUUGUAAAGCACUUUCAGUAGGGAGGAAGGUAGUGUAGUUAACACCUGCAUUAUUUGACGUUACCUACAGAAGAAGCACCGGCUAACUCCGUGCCAGCAGCCGCGGUAAUACGGAGGGUGCGAGCGUUAAUCGGAAUUACUGGGCGUAAAGCGCAUGCAGGCGGCCUGUUAAGUCAGAUGUGAAAGCCCGGGGCUUAACCUCGGAAUUGCAUUUGAAACUGGCAGGCUAGAGUCUUGUAGAGGGGGGUAGAAUUUCAGGUGUAGCGGUGAAAAUGCGUAGAGAUCUGAAGGAAUACCAGUAGGCGAAGGCGGCCCCCUGGACAAGACUGACGCUCAGAUGCGAAAGCUGGGGGAGCAAACAGGAUUAGAU